rnacentral:rRNA from 1 species
AAAGCCCUACGGGGGGCAGCAGUGAGGAAUAUUGGUCAAUGGUCGGGAGACUGAACCAGCCAAGCCGCGUGAGGGAUGAAGGUACAGAGUAUCGUAAACCUCUUUUGUCAGGGAACAAAGGCGGGGACGUGUCCCCGGAUGAGUGUACCUGAAGAAAAAGCAUCGGCUAACUCCGUGCCAGCAGCCGCGGUAAUACGGAGGAUGCGAGCGUUAUCCGGAUUUAUUGGGUUUAAAGGGUGCGCAGGCGGUCUGGUAAGUCAGCGGUCAAAGCCCGGGGGCCAACCCCGGCCCGCCGUUGAAAAUGG